rnacentral:rRNA from 1 species
AGAGUUUGAUCCUGGCUCAGGAUGAACGCCGGCGGUGUGCCUAAUACAUGCAAGUCGAACGCGUUGGCCCAACUGAUUGAACGUGCUUGCACGGACUUGACGUUGGUUUACCAGCGAGUGGCGGACGGGUGAGUAACACGUAGGUAACCUGCCCCAAAGCGGGGGAUAACAUUUGGAAACAGAUGCUAAUACCGCAUAACAAUUUGAAUCACAUGAUUCAAAUUUAAAAGAUGGCUUCGGCUAUCACUUUGGGAUGGACCUGCGGCGCAUUAGCUUGUUGGUAGGGUAACGGCCUACCAAGGCUGUGAUGCGUAGCCGAGUUGAGAGACUGAUCGGCCACAAUGGAACUGAGACACGGUCCAUACUCCUACGGGAGGCAGCAGUAGGGAAUCUUCCACAAUGGGCGCAAGCCUGAUGGAGCAACACCGCGUGAGUGAAGAAGGGUUUCGGCUCGUAAAGCUCUGUUGUUAGAGAAGAAUGUGCGUGAGAGCAACUGUUCACGCAGUGACGGUAUCUAACCAGAAAGUCACGGCUAACUACGUGCCAGCAGCCGCGGUAAUACGUAGGUGGCAAGCGUUAUCCGGAUUUAUUGGGCGUAAAGCGAGCGCAGGCGGUUUGAUAAGUCUGAUGUGAAAGCCUUUGGCUUAACCAAAGAAGUGCAUCGGAAACUGUCAGACUUGAGUGCAGAAGAGGACAGUGGAACUCCAUGUGUAGCGGUGGAAUGCGUAGAUAUAUGGAAGAACACCAGUGGCGAAGGCGGCUGUCUGGUCUGCAACUGACGCUGAGGCUCGAAAGCAUGGGUAGCGAACAGGAUUAGAUACCCUGGUAGUCCAUGCCGU